CAAAAAAAUUGACAGAGGAGAUACUAUGAUCAUGAUGGUGGUUUUCCCAGAGUGAGGCUUAUCUGCACUCUGAACGUACUGACCUCUGUGAUUUCCCCAAAUGUGGGGAACUUUACUGCAUGGUUUAUGGUAGUGAGGUACUGUGUUCAUGCUCUUCUCUG
ensembl:snRNA U1 U1 spliceosomal RNA